GACGAACGCUGGCGGCGUGCCUAACACAUGCAAGUCGAACGGAACUGUUUUGAAAGAUUUCUUCGGAAUGAAUUUGAUUUAGUUUAGUGGCGGACGGGUGAGUAACGCGUGAGUAACCUGCCUUCAAGAGGGGGAUAACAUUCUGAAAAGAAUGCUAAUACCGCAUGACAUAUCGGAACCACAUGAUUUUGAUAUCAAAGAUUUUAUCGCUUGAAGAUGGACUCGCGUCCGAUUAGUUAGUUGGUGAGGUAACGGCUCACCAAGACCGCGAUCGGUAGCCGGACUGAGAGGUUGAACGGCCACAUUGGGACUGAGACACGGCCCAGACUCCUACGGGAGGCAGCAGUGGGGGAUAUUGCGCAAUGGGGGCAACCCUGACGCAGCAACGCCGCGUGAAGGAUGAAGGUUUUCGGAUUGUAAACUUCUUUUAUUAAGGACGAAACUUGACGGUAC
rnacentral:rRNA from 1 species